UACGUAGGGGGCAAGCGUUGUCCGGAAUUAUUGGGCGUAAAGCGCGUGUAGGCGGCCAGAAAAGUCCGCUGUGAAAACUCGAGGCUCAACCUCCAGCUGUCGUUGGAAACCAUCUGGCUAGAGUCCGGAAGAGGAGAGUGGAAUUCCUGGUGUAGCGGUGAAAUGCGCAGAUAUCAGGAAGAACACCAAUGGCGAAGGCAGCUCUCUGGGACGGUACUGACGCUGAGACGCGAAAGCGUGGGGAGCGAACAGG
rnacentral:rRNA from 1 species